UACAGAGGGGGCAAGCGUUAUUCGGAAUUAUUGGGCGUAAAGGGCGCGUAGGCGGCUUGGCAAGUGGAAGGUGAAAUCCCUCGGCUUAACCGAGGAACUGCCCUCCAAACUGCUUGGCUUGAGACCGGGAGAGGUGAGUGGAAUUCCCAGUGUAGCGGUGAAAUGCGUAGAUAUUGGGAGGAACACCAGUGGCGAAGGCGGCUCACUGGACCGGUACUGACGCUGAGUGCGCGAAAGCGUGGGGAGCAAACGGG
rnacentral:rRNA from 1 species